CCAGCAGCAGCCAAGGAAUCGAUAGCCUUUAAAUAAGUAAUUAGGGGAGCCGAAGACGUCGGCACAUCCAGGAGUGAGCAGGGGAACAUAAAUUCAUGACUCCCAGGCUCACUGGGCAAGGGCCUGGUUCUGUUUCUCGGUCAAGAAAUGUGACAGCGCCUGGGGGCAAUGAUGGUGGAGGAACAGGGAGCCAGUGUUGUAGAGUCUGUUUUCACUUUCCUGUCCUCUGUUUCUGGUGGCUUUUAGGAUAAGGAUCAAAAUCUUCUCCCAACCUAGAGAGGUAAAUCUGGAGCUGAAGCUGGCUCCGGUACAAUGUCAGCUUGUUUAUUCACUGGUUGUGUGACCUGAGACACACACCCUCUCUGUGCUCAGUUUCCCUAGCUGUAAAACGCCCCACCCCCAACCCCCAGCCCCCAAAUAAGGUCAUCAUGAGGUUUACAGACGUUCGUACCACAUGCAAAGCAUGCAGAGCAGUGUGGGCCGUGGUUAGCAUCCAGGGGCCUUUGUGACUAAGUCCCAACCCGAGGCUACAGCCUCACGGGUGUUACGCUCCCCAAGAAAGGGGUGAAGGGCCAUCGCAGGUGCCCGGGAAGCAAUCAUCUGCCGUUUUUCCCGUCCUCCUGCACCACCAUCACCCCCCCACCACCACCAGCCCCGCAGAAGUCGCAGAAAACAGCCAACAAGGGUGGCCGCUGAGUCCCACGGGGAUCACAAGGUUAUAAGAACAAAGGCUGCCACUUCCUCUCUCCCUGCGGUGCUGCCUGUGUGUGGACACCAUCUGAUGAGAAUGUAAUUCCUUUUAUGAUCCAGGAAGGUAUAAAAACGCAUAUAAACAACCACAUGUCAUCACUGGAGUUGGCCAUCACAUUUUUAUUGGUCUACAGCGUGUGUUUUUGUUAGCCUGACGUCUGUUAGAAACCAGGUUCUGAAACACUGUCCUCGUUUGGGUGCUGGAGACAAAUAGUAUCCAGAAGCCAUUCCCAGGCCUGGUCUCAGGGAAACAGUCCCCAGAGCAGGAGGGGGGGUGUGUGUGUGUGUGUGUGUGUGUGUGUGUGUGUGUGUGUGUGUGUGUGUGUGUGUGUGUGCAUGCGCGUGCACGCUUGCUCCUCCCUGGAGGUUCCCUGGUCCAGGCUCAGUGGAGGAAUCGGAGGCCCAGGGCAGGGCAGUGCUCUGUCCAGGAUCAUGGGACUGCUUGGUUUAGCACCAUUUUCUGAGCAUGUCAGGGAGCCCCAGCUGCUGCCGGAGCCAGCCCCCCAGUCUCGGGGGUGCCACGGAGCUGUCCUUCUAGCUUGUGUGGCAGAGAGCAUGGUGGAUGAUGGGUGGAUGGGCCUCCCUGCUUCGUGUGGCUCCACCCUCCCCUAAAGCCUCAUAAUCUUCUGCUUCCAGCUGAAUGGGGGAAGGAUCCGGAGGCUCGCAAGGUUUUAUGGAUUUUUAUGGAGAUGUUUGGGUAGGGCCUGGAAGUGGCUCAGCCACAUCUGUCCACAUCCCUCAGCGGAUCACUAGGUCAGGGUCGAUACCAAACUGCAAGGGAGGCUAGGAAAUGUAGCCCAGCUGGGUGCCUGCGAGGAAGACAAGGCAGACUGGUCUCAGUGCCCAGCCCCGAGCUGGAAGCUGCCUGGGCAGAGAUGCUGAGAUGGAGAUGCAGGCCCAUCAGUUUGAGGUUCCCAAUAAGGGCUGGUCUAGCACAUUAUCAAUCGCUAGAAGCCCAUGACUCCUCUCUAGAGAGACCUCACCCCAGGAUAAGCCUAAGCCUCCCGGGGUCCUUGCUACCUCGUGCCAAGUGGUGUCAGCCACCCUUGUUUCUAAAGGGUUACAGAGAAGUGGGGAGGCUGGGUUCAUUUCCUGAAAGGCCCUAUUCUCUGCCUCAGGCCAGCAGAAUUUCCUUUCAGGGGGAGGCAGGGGCCUCUCUCCCCAGGGUUACCUGUCGCCUCACACCCCCACAGGGCUGGGCUCUCAACAAAACAGCCUGGAGGGAGGACCAGCACCUCAGUUCACACACACACACACACACACACACACACACACACUCACGCAUACACACAAAUGCGCCCAUGCACACACACAUCUCAGAACCAGCUAUAGCCGACAUCUGCCGCUUUGGUUAACGAGUAUCUGUUUGGGGGAUCCCAAGGUCUGUUUGGAGGACCCCCCUCCCACCACAGACACAGACUGCAGCACGUAUUCUGCACCCCCACCAACUAGAAUGUGGACAUGGGGCCUAAAGUGUGGCCAACUGGACACGCCCUCCUGGGACUUCCACUCCAUAGGGUGACACAGAGGCCUGGCAUCCAUCAGACCUUUAAAGGGCGCUGCAGCUGAAGGGCACCUCUCCAGCUGCCAGCAGGGGCCAUGGUGACCAGCUGGCAGGUGGCGGGCUCUGGCGUGGCACCUUGGCUGGGCCUUCACGCUCGGGUUCCCGUCAAGCCUGUUUCUCCAGUCCCCUGUCAACUGCCUGCGCCACCUGAAGCUCUCCCAGACGCCUCUUUCAGGUGAGCCCCGCCUCCUGCAGCCUUGGCCUUGCACCUGCUCACCCACCCCCUCCCGCCAAGGAUUUCCUUGGCUGCCGGCUUCAGCCGGGCUGUCCCAGACCCCAGGCAAGUCUGACAGCUUCCGCCCUCCAGGGAAAGGCCAGGGUUCCCACCUCUUUCCUCCAGGGGAUUCUGCAGCAAAUUUCAAAUUAAGUUGCGUUUUCACACUCCUGCAGAGUUCAGCGUUCUCAGGAGGGCUGUGGUAGAACCAAGGUAAUUGGCAUUCUUAGUAAUCCCAUGUGCACCUCAAAGCAUUCUUCUGAAAAGAAGCCCACCCUCCACUUGAUGCCCAAGGGGUCCAGGACAGCAGGACCCCUCUGGAUUGUAGCCCCCAGGCUGUUGGUGCCAGGAUUCCUUACUCAACAACAUGGGCCCUUUGCCUGAUGACAGCCCCCCUGGCUUGACCCAUCCUCCCUUCACUGUUUCUUCCGGAAAAAGAUCCCUACUUUCUUUGGGGGGCCAGCUCCUCUCUCCACCCUACAGAAGUAGGUGGGCCCUGUAGGAGUUUUCACAUUGUCACAUGCCCUCACUCUCUCAGUUCAGCCAAUUCAGGAGGAGUGGGCUCCUGACCCAAACCUGGCCAAUCAGCUCCUUCUCUGUGGUGGUGGUGGUUGUUGUUUUAAACUGGAACUAGGAGUUCCCAUUGCGGCUCAGAGGAUUAAGAACUCGACAUAGUGUCUAUGAGGACACAGGUGUGAUCCCUGGCCUCACUCAGUGGGUUAAGGAUCCAGUGUUGCUGUGAGCUGCGCUGUAGGCCACAGCUGUGGCUCGGAGCUGGCAUUCCUGAGGCUGUGGCAUAGGCUGGCAGUUGUAGCUCCAAUUUGAUCCCUGGCCCAGGCACUUCCAUAUGCCACAGGUGUGGCCGUAAAAAGAAAAAAGAAAAAGAAAAA
rnacentral:lncRNA from 1 species